rnacentral:rRNA from 1 species
UACAGAGGGUGCAAGCGUUGUUCGGAAUUAUUGGGCGUAAAGCGCGUGUAGGCGGCCUUGCAAGUCGGGGGGGAAAGCCCUCAGCUUAACUGAGGAAGUGCGCCCGAAACUGCAGAGCUUGAGUACCGGAGAGGAUGGUGGAAUUCCCCAAGUAGAGGUGAAAUUCGUAGAUAUGGGGAGGAACACCGGUGGCGAAGGCGACCAUCUGGACGGAUACUGACGCUGAGACGCGAAAGCGUGGGUAGCAAACAGG